GAUGAAGAACGCAGCGAAAUGCGAUAACUAAUGUGAAUUGCAGAAUUCAGUGAAUCAUCGAGUCUUUGAACGCACAUUGCGCCCCUUGGUAUUCCAUGGGGCAUGCCUGUUCGAGCGUCAUCUACAACCCUCAAGCCCUGCUUGGUGUUGGGCGUCUGUCCCGCCCCCGCGCGCGGACUCGCCCCAAAUCCAUUGGCGGCGGCCCUUGCCUCCCUCUCGCGCAGCACAUUGCGCUUCUCGAGGCGUCGCGGGCCGCGCUCCACGAAGCACGCAAACCAGUCUUUGACCUCGGAUCAGGUAGGGAUACCCGCUGAACUUAAGCAUAUCAAUAAGCGGAGGA
rnacentral:misc_RNA from 1 species